rfam:Brassica napus, WGS project CCCW01000000 data, contig: 11801
UAACCAUGGUGUGGACAGUUUGUAGUGUAUUCUCUGAAGCGCUCCCAAGCUUCGUGAAAUCUUUCUGAUCCUGUCUGCUGAAAAUUUGCAAUCUUGUUUCUGAGGUG